UAGAAGUUAUGUAUUAAAAUUUUGUAACAUAACCCCCCCCCCCCUUUCAGAAGUUUAGUCCUUAAAGGGAACGUAGGGUCAAAAAUAAAAUUUUGAUAUUUGAAAACUGGUACCAUGCAGACAACAAAAUCUAGCAUAGAAAAAAUAAUUGCUGCUGAUAACAAGAUUUAAUCUGUCAUUUACACUAAAAACUGAGCUGAAUGGGAGAAUCUCUUAUCAUGGCGGCUGAUGACGUGUAUGCGGCAAUUCAUUACAACUGCUGUGCCUAGCACUAAAUGGGUUACAGAGUAUCUAUGAUCUAAAUAUCGGGAGUUCAAGCAAAAUUUUGCACUGUGGUCAAAGGAAAAGGAAUACAUGUAUGUACCUUUUAGCAUCCCUGAUCUCCCCCCAAAACUAUGAACAUUGUGCAAUAAUUGGAUACAUAACCUUGGAAAUGAAUCUUUUGUUUUUGAACGGCAUUUUGAGAAAGAGUCUUUUAAAGAGGAUAUCAGGCUAAUCCAUUUUCUUUUGGUAACCAAUGAAAACUCAUAUGCAGAACCUAUUGACCAGCCUUGACUAUCAGCAUCUAAGGAAACAGCUCAAUGAAGACAUGAAUAGUGACAAAAAUAUCCCACUCUCAAUCCAUAUUGAAGAAUAAAUCAACUUUGUGCAACAUAAUACAGAUAGAAUUGACCAGUCAUUGUCCAUCAUAUGUGCUAAGGAAUGUUCAAGUGAAGAAUGAAGAAAUGAAGAUAAUGAACAAUCCUGUAUAAAGAAUACAAAAUUAAAAGUUUAAGAAUUAAGAGUGUCGUUUUCAGCAAUUUAUCCCAAUGCACUAGUGUUUUCAUUUGAAUCUGCUAAUAAUUCCUCUUCAUUAUAAUCAGGCUCAUAUUGAUAUCCUUUGCAGUCAGACAUGAUCAGAUGCUUUCACUGAGAGGCAAUUGCCCGGUAUACGUCAUAAACAGAUGGGAUUGUGGGAAAUAUCUUAAAGAGCGAUAACUUUAUCUUGCAAAAUGGCAGCCUCCAGCAGAUGAUGUGUAGCUAUAUUUAAUAGCCGAUUUCUACACAACAGAUUACAAUCAAAUGGAAAUAACCAGUGGACUUAAUUACUAAAUAUUUAGUAUUUGAAAUGUGAAAAU